CCUUUAGGAGGGGGAUAACGGAUGGAAACAUUCGCUAAAACCCCAUAUGCCCCCGGGUGAAAAAGAGGAGAUAAGUAAAACUGAAUCACCUCUGCCUGAAGAGAAGCUCGCGGCUGAUUAGCUAGUUGGUAGGGUAAAGGCCUACCAAGGCGACGAUCAGUAGCUGGUCUGAGAGGACGAUCAGCCACACUGGAACUGAGACACGGUCCAGACUCCUACGGGAGGCAGCAGUGAGGAAUUUUCUGCAAUGGGCGCAAGCCUGACAGAGCAAUACCGCGUGAGGGAUGAAGACUUACUGAGUUGUAAACCUCGGUGCCUUAAGGAAGAAGAUCUGACGGUACUUAAGGUGGAAAGCAUCGGCUAACUCCGUGCCAGCAGCCGCGGUAAGACGGGGGAUGCAAGUGUUAUCCGGAUUUACUGGGCGUAAAGCGUCUGCAGGUGGUUUCUUAAGUCUGCUGUUAAAUCUUGAGGCUCAACCUCAAAUCUGCAGUAGAAACUAGGAGACUUGAGUAUAGUAGGGGUAGAGGGAAUUUCCAGUGGAGCGGUGAAAUGCGUAGAUAUUGGAAAGAACACCGAUGGCGAAGGCACUCUACUGGGCUAUUACUGACACUCAGAGACGAAAGCUAGGGGAGCAAAUGGGAUUAGAUACC
rnacentral:rRNA from 1 species